rnacentral:rRNA from 1 species
UAAGGUGGCUAUAGCACGAGGGAUCCCCCUCUUCCCAUUCCGAACAGAGAAGUUAAGCCUCGUCACGCCGAUGGUACUGCGUAACAGUGGAAGAGUAGGUAGCCGCCGUCUU